rnacentral:rRNA from 1 species
AUUGAACGCUGGCGGCGUGCUUAACACAUGCAAGUCGAUCGGUAACAGGUGUAGCAAUACAUGCUGACGAGAGGCGGACGGGUGAGUAAUGCUUGGGAAUCUGCCUAUUAGUGGGGGACAACCCGGGGAAACUCGGGCUAAUACCGCAUACGCUCUACGGAGGAAAGCCGGGGACCGCAAGGCCUGGCGCUAAUAGAUGAGCCCAAGUCGGAUUAGCUAGUUGGUAGGGUAACGGCCUACCAAGGCGACAAUCCGUAGCUGGUCUGAGAGGACGACCAGCCACACCGGAACUGAGACACGGUCCGGACUCCUACGGGAGGCAGCAGUGGGGAAUAUUGGACAAAUGGGGGCGAACCCUGAUCCAGCGACGCCGCGUGGGUGAAGAAGGCCUGCGGGUUGUAAAGCCCUUUCGGUGGGGAAGAAAAGUCUCGACCUAAUACGUCGGGACCUUGACGUAACCCACUAAAGAAGCACCGGCUAACUCUGUGCCAGCCGCCGCCGUAAU